rnacentral:rRNA from 1 species
AGAGUUUGAUCCUGGCUCAGGACGAACGCUGGCGGCGUGCUUAACACAUGCAAGUCGAACGGUGAUCUCCAGCUUGCUGGGGUGAUCAGUGGCGAACGGGUGAGUAACACGUGAGCAACCUGCCCAUGGCUCUGGGAUAACCUGGGGAAACCGAGGCUAAUACCGGAUAUGACGCGUACAGGCAUCUGUUACGUGUGGAAAGUUUUUCGGCCAUGGAUGGGCUCGCGGCCUAUCAGCUUGUUGGUGGGGUAAUGGCCUACCAAGGCGACGACGGGUAGCCGGCCUGAGAGGGCGAUCGGCCACACUGGGACUGAGACACGGCCCAGACUCCUACGGGAGGCAGCAGUGGGGAAUAUUGCGCAAUGGGCGAAAGCCUGACGCAGCGACGCCGCGUGAGGGAUGAAGGCCUUCGGGUUGUAAACCUCUUUCAGCUCUGACGAAGCGCAAGUGACGGUAGGAGCAGAAGAAGCACCGGCUAACUACGUGCCAGCAGCCGCGGUAAUACGUAGGGUGCAAGCGUUGUCCGGAAUUAUUGGGCGUAAAGAGCUCGUAGGCGGUUUGUCGCGUCUGGUGUGAAAAUCCAGGGCUUAACCCUGGACCUGCAUCGGGUACGGGCAGACUAGAGUGCGGUAGGGGAGAUCGGAAUUCCUGGUGUAGCGGUGAAAUGCGCAGAUAUCAGGAGGAACACCGGUGGCGAAGGCGGAUCUCUGGGCCGUAACUGACGCUGAGGAGCGAAAGCAUGGGGAGCGAACAGGAUUAGAUACCCUGGGUAGUCCAUGCCGUAAACGUUGGGCGCUAGGUGUGGGGCUCAUUCCACGAGUUCUGUGCCGCAGCUAACGCAUUAAGCGCCCCCGCCUGGGGAGUACGGGCCGCAAGGCUAAAACUCAAUUGAAUUGACGG